GUUAGAUUUAUGAUGUAAGGACUUUAGUGAAGAAAGUAGAAGUUGUCGCGUGCUCUCCAUUUAUUUGUGAAAUUUACCGAUUAAUAUUGAAUGGAAAAUUAGGCGAAGAAGAAGUAAACGCCCAGAAAAGUUGAUGAAAAGAGACACGGACAACAGUGAGGGGAAUUAGAAGAUUUAUUGAGAAGAGAAAGGCAGGCAAGCCCAAUUUAGGAGGGAUAUUAUCUCGAACCAAAAUUACACGUUACGGCUUGGUCUGCCUGAAGUUUGCGAUUUGGAUAAAAUAUUGAAUAAAGAGAUCUUGUUCAAUUCCGAACAGUUAUGUUUAGGUUAUAAACAAUAAACUUUCUUGCGAUUAUUGCAAUUUUUAGUCAAAUACGAGUGGUUAAAUCAGUUUUUGUGCUAAUUCAUUGCUAUCAAACAACCACAGAUUUAGUGACUUUGUGUACCCAUUCUAGAGACACACAGUUCACU